rnacentral:lncRNA from 1 species
AUGCCUGGCUAAUUUUUGUAUUUUUAGUAGAGAUGGGGUUUCACCACGUUGGCCAGGCUGGUCUCGAACUCCUGACCUCAAGUGAUCCACCCGCCUUGACCUCUCACAAGUGCUGGGAUUACAGGCAUGAGCCACCAUGCUGGCCUAGAGCAGUUUUAGAAUGGCCCUCUCCUGGGCUGGUUUAGUGCUGGCACUAGGUGUUUUUCUUCUUGGUUCUCUACUGAAUGUGUGAGGUGUUCAGUAAGAAUUCCUAUCCUGGCUUGUUGGAACUUGAACAUCUCCCAGCCCUUGGUGAGUUCUGGAAAUUGUUCAGAUACAUCUCUCUGUGUACUAUUUACACAGUCUAGUGGAGCUUCACCCCACACAUGCAUGGUUUAGUGUUCAGCAGUACAUGCAAGAGGAUCUCUAUGUAGAUUUGCUGGGUCUCUUUCUCUGUGCAGCUCUUUCUUCUCUUGUUUUCUACACCAAAUUCCAGCUUCUUUUGCCUCUUCAGACUCAGACCCCUAUCGCCCAACCCAGCAAGACUGCCAUGGUCAUGUUGGAGUUCUUUUACCUACAUCACAGUCAAGAAAGUGGUAGAAAGGUAGAAAGGUAGGCACGGUGGUUUAUGCUUGUAAUUCCAGCACUUUGGGAGGCCGAGGUGGGAGGAUCACCUGAGGUCAGGAGUUCGUGACUAGCCUGACCAACAUGAAGAAACCCCGUCUCAACUAAAAAUACAAAAUUAGUUGGGUGUGGUGGCGAGUGCCUGUAAUUCCAGUUACUCGGGAAGCUGAGGCUGGAGAAUCACUUGAACCCGGGAGGCGGAGGUUGCAGUGAGCCGAGAUCACACCGCUGCACUCCAGCCUGGACAACAAGAGUGAAACUCCAUCUCAGAAAAAAAAAAAGAAAAAGAAAAGAAAGGUAGGAUGAUCAUAGGACCUACCGUGUUUGUUUUCACUCUCUGAGCGAUCAUAUAGAAGGACUCCUCUUUUCUAACAGCUGAAAACAGAUUUUUAAUAUCGUUUGUCCAGUUUUAUACUUCUAAAGUAGAAGGCUAUACCUGGUCCUAGUUACUCCAUUAUGGCCAGAAGCAGAAGCCUCUUCUCCCUCUGCCCAUGACUCUCUUUUGCCCCUCCUCCUCCACUUGGAGCCAUUUGGCCCAUUUGGGUGUUGACUUUGAUGCAAGUCAGGGGUGCCUGCAUUGGCGUCUGUGCAUGUGGUUGUGGGUGUGCGUGUUUGUAUAGUGGCUGGGUAUACGUGAGUCCUUAAGGUGGAAGUGGGGCAUGGGAAUGGGGUGCAGGGGAAGUGGGGGAUGGGAAUGGGGUGCAGGGGAAGUGGGGCAUGGGAAUGGGGUGCAGGGGAAGUAGAGGUGUGACGGAAGUGGAGAGGUGUGAAAUAGCUUCUUGGGAAGGGCAGAGUUCCUCCUUGCUACUGGGAAGUGUCGUUUGGGGUUCUGGCAGCGUUGAGAGCCUCCCCACAACCCCCGCCUCCGAUGGUAAUCCAGAAUUUAAGUGAGACCAGCUGGUGUGGUUUUGUUCAGCUGAGCAUGGGCAGGGCAGGAAGACUGAGAGUUCACCAUUUUCUGUACCGAGAAGCCCCUCUGCCUCCUCAGGAACUCCAUUCCUAUCCUGUCCUCCUUCCUGGCUCAUUCCCAGCAUCCUCAAGGUCUUGUCAGCGCCCUCGUAGGGUGGUCAGGUCCCAUCAGGGUUGUCUGAGCAUGUGUGUGCAGGUAUGUGUAGGUGUGUAUGUGGGUGUGUGAGUGGGUGGAGGCUUGAGUGUUUCAUGGUUUCAGAAGUGUUGAGAAAGAAGAAAAGAAGACCUCUGUCUUUUCUUGUGACAUCACAAAGGGCAAGAAACUAAGAAAUGCCUCAGGCUCCUGCAGAGAAGAAGGGAUGGGCAGUAACAGCUUGGGGCAGGACCUGGGGUAGGAUGGCAAUUCAUGGAUGGAGGAAUAACAAGACCUGGUGAGAUCAGCUUGGCAUGGCUCCCAGCUGGGCAGGAACACAGGACUCCAGGGCAUGGAAAACCCCACCCCAGCCCAUGGCCAGCAUCCACCUGUGCCCGCACCUGCCUGUCCAGAGCUGACCAGGAAAAUGGUGCUGGCCUGGGAGCUGCUCCUCAUGGCCCUGCUGGCCCUGUGCUGGGGGCUUAGCCUGGCAGGGGAAGAAGGUGAGUUCUGUGGCUCCCACCCCUUCCC